CCCUUAGAUGUUCUGGGCUGCACGCGCGCUACACUGAUGCGCUCAACGAGUUUAUGACCUUGCCCGGAAGGGUUGGGUAAUCUUCUUAAAACGCAUCGUGAUGGGGAUAGAUUAUUGCAAUUAUUAGUCUUGAACGAGGAAUUCCUAGUAAGCACAAGUCAUCAGCUUGUGUUGAUUACGUCCCUGCCCUUUGUACACACCGCCCGUCGCUCCUACCGAUUGAAUGUUCCGGUGAGCUCUUCGGACUGCGCGGUCUGCAGUUUCUGCGUUCCGUGCGGAAAGUUGCGCAAACCUUAACAUUUAGAGGAAGGAGAAGUCGUAACA
rnacentral:rRNA from 1 species